GAUGAAGAACGUAGCGAAAUGCGAUAAGUAGUGUGAAUUGCAGAAUUCAGUGAAUCAUCGAAUCUUUGAACGCACAUUGCGCCCCAUGGUAUUCCGUGGGGCAUGCCUGUUCGAGCGUCAUUUACCCCGUCAAGCUCCGCUUGGUGUUGGGCGUCUGUCCCGCUUCGCGCGCGGACUCGCCCCAAAGGUAUUGGCAGCGGUCGUGCCAGCUUCUCGCGCAGCACAUUGCGCUUCUCGAGGCACCGGUGGGCCCGCGUCCAUCAAGCUCACCCCCCCAGUUUGACCUCGGAUCAGGUAGGGAUACCCGCUGAACUUAAGCAUAUCAAUAGCGGAGGA
rnacentral:misc_RNA from 1 species